rnacentral:rRNA from 1 species
UACGGAGGGUGCGAGCGUUGUCCGGAAUCAUUGGGCGUAAAGGGCGCGUAGGUGGCCCGGUAAGCGUGCGGUGAAAGCUUGGGGCUCAACCCCGAGUCGGCCGUGCGAACUGCUGGGCUUGAGCGCUGUAGAGGCAGGCGGAAUUCCGGGUGUCGCGGUGGAAUGCGUAGAGAUCCGGAAGAACACCGGUGGCGAAGGCGGCCUGCUGGGCAGUGGCUGACACUGAGGCGCGACAGCGUGGGGAGCAAACAGG